rnacentral:rRNA from 1 species
AUUGAACGCUGGCGGCAGGCCUAACACAUGCAAGUCGAACGGUAGCACAGAGGAGCUUGCUCCUUGGGUGACGAGUGGCGGACGGGUGAGUAAUGUCUGGGAAACUGCCCGAUGGAGGGGGAUAACUACUGGAAACGGUAGCUAAUACCGCAUAACGUCGCAAGACCAAAGAGGGGGACCUUCGGGCCUCUUGCCAUCGGAUGUGCCCAGAUGGGAUUAGCUAGUAGGUGGGGUAACGGCUCACCUAGGCGACGAUCCCUAGCUGGUCUGAGGGGAUGACCAGCCACACUGGAACUGAGACACGGUCCAGACUCCUACGGGAGGCAGCAGUGGGGAAUAUUGCACAAUGGGCGCAAGCCUGAUGCAGCCAUGCCGCGUGUAUGAAGAAGGCCUUCGGGUUGUAAAGUACUUUCAGCGAGGAGGAAGG